CAUGCUAAUUUGCUGAUGGAAAAGAAUGUUUAUCUUUUGGCCUGUCACCGAGUGCUGUUGGAGGCUCAGAAUAUUCAUGACAUGGUGAUAAAAGUAUGAGGGGGAUGAAUUCCCAAUCAUUAUCGGGUCAAGAAGUCGACCUCUCUGAACGCAGCAGAAGCAGUUUGGGCAGGCAUCUCAACAAACGCGGAUGACAAUUUGACCGCGUCUGACCGAUGAGAGCAGGCAGUUGGUUUGUGGCUGUGACUCUUCUCUGCAAAUGUGAAGAGAGCAGCACCCACACACUUUCUGAGGAGGAUGAUUGUCAGUCUAAAUAUUUUGUAGCUUCUGCAUGCGCCUGCAUCAAUGCUUUGUAGGAGAUGAAUGCACAUGCGUUACUUACUAUGGCUGCGCGAGGAGGCUUUUUCAGAUACAUAACAGACACGAUUAUUGGUGAGGUGACAAGAAAACUGUUUAUUAUAAAUCCCGAUUUAUUGUAUCUCUCCUCAGUUCUGUUUUGGGGGUUUUUCUCCGCAUUUUUAUUUUAAGAGCAAUUUAGUCGAGAUGAGACAAAAGUGCCGACUGACUGUGCUUCAAAGUGGUGAAAACGCCGACAGAGAAAUAUUUACGCUCAUGCUAUUGAGCAUUCUACAUUGAACUUUGCUUUUGUAUUUCAACCGUCAUUCAUUUUGGCAGGGGGUAAUCACUCAAUUCAAUAAAAACGAAACCAAAGAGUCUUUUCGGAAUGGGCAAUUUCUCAACACGAGUUUCAGAAUAAUAUUCCCUUUUUUUUCUGCAAAGCGCUCAAGGUGAACUUUUUCAGUGUAAAAUUGUUGUCAUGAAUAUCUUAAAAAAAAGUGUUUGAAAAGUUUUCAAGUGUAUCCAAAUUGCCUCGCUGGUGCUUGGGGAUGGUUGGGAUAAUGCAUGCCCGUUCCACGAUGUACUUGUGCUUCUUUUUUCUGUCACCUAUAUGCUACCGAAAAAUAGCAAG